CUCAAUGUGUUUGGUCCAGGUCUACAUCUCAAUGUGUUUGGUCCAGGUCUAUAUCUCAAUGUGUUUGGUCCAGGUCUAUAUCUCAAUGUGUUUAGUCCAGGUCUAUAUCUCAAUGUGUUUAGUUCAGGUCUAUAUCUCAAUGUGUUUGGUCCAGGACUACAGUAUAUCUCACUGUGUUUGGUCCAGGUCUACAGUAUAUCUCAAUGUGUUUGGUCCAGGGUCUAUAUCUCAAUGUGUUUGGUCCAGGUCUAUAUCUCAAUGUGUUUGGUCCAGGUCUACAGUAUAUCUCACUGUGUUUGGUCCAGGUCUACAGUAUAUCUCACUGUGUUUGGUCCAGGUCUAUAUCUCAAUGUGUUUGGUUCAGGUCUAUAUCUCACUGUGUUUGGUCCAGGUCUACAGUAUAUCUCAAUGUGUUUGGUCCAGGUCUACAGUAUAUCUCAAUGUGUUUGG